UACGUAGGGGGCUAGCGUUGUCCGGAAUCAUUGGGCGUAAAGAGCGUGUAGGCGGUCCGGUAAGUCCGCUGUGAAAGUCGGGGGGCUCAACCCUCGAAUGCCGGUGGAUACUGUCGGGCUAGAGUGCGGAAGAGGCGAGUGGAAUUCCUGGUGUAGCGGUGAAAUGCGCAGAUAUCAGGAGGAACACCUAUUGCGAAGGCAGCUCGCUGGGACGUAACUGACGCUGAGACGCGAAAAGCGUGGGGAGCAAACAGG
rnacentral:rRNA from 1 species